GAUGAACGCUGGCGGCGUGCCUAAUACAUGCAAGUCGAGCGAACAGAUGAGGAGCUUGCUCCUCUGACGUUAGCGGCGGACGGGUGAGUAACACGUGGAUAACCUACCUAUAAGACUGGGAUAACUUCGGGAAACCGGAGCUAAUACCGGAUAAUAUAUUGAACCGCAUGGUUCAAUAGUGAAAGACGGUUUUGCUGUCACUUAUAGAUGGAUCCGCGCCGCAUUAGCUAGUUGGUAAGGUAACGGCUUACCAAGGCAACGAUGCGUAGCCGACCUGAGAGGGGGUUGGCCCACAGGGAAGUUGAGCCACGUCCAUGGCACUAAGGGAGGGAGGCGUUGGCAAUUGUCCGGAAAUGGGGGAAAGCUUGAGGAAGAAGCGCGGGGCGGGUGAGGAAGUUCUUCGGUCGGUAAAACGCUGUUAUUGGGGAAAACCAAUGUGUAAGUAACUAUGCACGUCUUGACGGUACCUAAUCAGAAAGCCACGGCUAACUACGUG
rnacentral:rRNA from 1 species